GUGCUUACUUGGGCAGCACAUAUACUAAAAUUGGACGAUACAGAGAAGAUUAGCAUGGCUCCUGCACAAGAAUGACACACAAAUUUGUGAAGCGGUCCAUAUUCUU